AAGACUAUAGACCUGCGGAGUACCUGCGGAAGGAUCAUUACCGAGUUCUCGCCCCUCGCGGGGUAGACCUCCCACCCACUGUGAUCACUACCGUCGUUGCUUUGGCGGGCCGCUGGGCCCAGCCCACCGCCGGCCCCGGCUGGCGCGUGCCCGCCAGAGGCCCUACAAACGCUGGAUAUCAGUGCCGUCUGAGUACACAUGUUAAUCGUUAAAACUUUCAGCAAUGGAUCUCUAGAUCGG
rnacentral:misc_RNA from 1 species